rnacentral:rRNA from 1 species
AAUGAACGUUGGCGGCGUGGAUUAGGCAUGCAAGUCGAGCGGAAAGGCCCGCAAGGGCACUCGAGCGGCGUAAGGGACAGUAAUGUGUAGGUACGUACCCCUGGGUCUAGGAUAGCUGCGGGAAACUGCAAUUAAUACUAGAUGAUGUCUCCGGACCAAAGGUGUGAUUCCACCCAGGGAGCGGCCUACAUCCUAUUAGCUAGUUGGUGAGGUGACGGCUCACCAAGGCGAAGAUGGGUAGCAGGUGUGAGAGCACGACCUGCGUCACUGGGACUGAGACACUGCCCAGACACCUACGGGUGGCUGCAGUCGAGAAAU